rnacentral:rRNA from 1 species
GGUCUUUAGUUUUUUAUUUAAGAUCAGGCCUGCCCAUUGAUUUGAAAUAUUAAAAGGCUGCGGUAUUUUAACUGUACGAAGGUAGCAUAAUCAUUUGUCUUUUAAUUGGAGGCUAGAAUGAAUGGUUUAAUGAGAAAUAUUCUUUCUUUUUUUAAUUUAUUUUAAUUUAAUUUUUUAGUUAAAAAGCUAAAAUUCUUUUAUAGGACGAGAAGACCCUAUAGAAGUUUACUUUAUUAAUAAUUUUAUAUUUUUUGUUAUUAAAAUAUUUUUUUAAAUUAUAAAGUUUUGUUGGGGUGACAUUAAAAUUUUUUUAACUUUUAAUUUUUCUUUUCAUUAAUUUAUGUUUUUUUUUGAUCCAGUAUUUAUUGAUUAAAAGUUUAACUUACCUUAGGGAUAACAGCGUAAUUUUUUCGGAGAGUUCAUAUCGAUGAAUAAGUUUGCGA